rnacentral:lncRNA from 1 species
CUGUAAUGUAUGUUUACAGUUUUGACUGCUGUAUCCCAAUUAUUUUUUACAUUUAUCAACUAUGUCAGUUUCGUUUUUAAUUUGGCAAUAUAACGGAACUAUAAACUGUAUAAAGUUUAGCUAUCCAUAAAACCAGGUCUAACGCUCCAUAUUCUUCAGAAAAUGCUUGUACCAAGUCUGGAAUAUGACAGUUGGUAUCCAUUCGUUUGAUGUGGUUUUUUUUUUUUUUAUUUUGUUAUUUGAUUGAGGGCUUUUCGCUUUGAAUUUUCCAUAGUUCAAGAUUUUUGUGAUAUUACUUUUGUUUUGUAUCAGGUCAGGAUUAUGGCAGUUGUUGGGUUUUUUUCUCUUACUCGUUCCGUUGAUUAAUCAGUUUGAAUGUGUAGGUAUUUAUUGACUUUCUCUUUAUGAAUAUUUCUUUUAAAUUCGGUAUUUUUGUUUUACUUUUUUGCGGGAUUGGUCGAUUUCUGCAAGUUAUGAAAUAUUGACCAUGGAAAAUUUUAAAAAUCCAAAAGUGACAUUAUUUGUUACGCUAACGAAUGUAAC